GACGAACGCUGGCGGCGUGCCUAAUACAUGCAAGUAGAACGCUGAAGGAGGAGCUUGCUUCUCCGGAUGAGUUGCGAACGGGUGAGUAACGCGUAGGUAACCUGCCUGGUAGCGGGGGAUAACUAUUGGAAACGAUAGCUAAUACCGCAUAACAGUAGAUGUUGCAUGACAUUUGCUUAAAAGGUGCAAUUGCAUCACUACCAGAUGGCCCUGCGUUGUAUUAGCUAGUUGGUGAGGUAACGGCUCACCAAGGCGACGAUACAUAGCCGACCUGAGAGGGUGAUCGGCCACACUGGGACUGAGACACGGCCCAGACUCCUACGGGAGGCAGCAGUAGGGAAUCUUCGGCAAUGGACGGAAGUCUGACCGAGCAACGCCGCGUGAGUGAAGAAGGUUUUCGGAUCGUAAAGCUCUGUUGUAAGAGAAGAACGAGUGUGAGAGUGGAAAGUUCACACUGUGACGGUAUCUUACCAGAAAGGGACGGCUAACUACGUG
rnacentral:rRNA from 1 species